CACGGACUCUCAUUGGCUCUUGAAGCCUAUGAACAGGACAUGGAAGCUCCUAUUGUUUCAAAUGAGGUGUCAAUCGAAAGGUCACAGACCAGCGGCCAUUUUGAAGUCAAGAGAUAAGGAAUAUUCACGAACAGAAGUUAUAACAGAGAAUACGUGAAAGAUUAGGUACAUCUGCCAGUCAUUCGAAUUGAUGCAGCAACAUUCCGAUGUUAUGGAUCAGUGGACUACUAUGAGGCUUCAUAGAUUUAGUCUGCCAGGAGGAGCCGUUCAGACUGUUAUCAUUGGAAUACAACAGAAGAAAGACCUUACGAUGUGCUUUUCCACUUCCGAAUAGCUGAA
ensembl:lncRNA